rnacentral:tRNA from 1 species
GGGCGGGUGGCGGAACCGGCAGACGCGCAUGGCUUAGGACCAUGUGCCGAAAGGCAUGGGGGUUCGAGUCCCCCCCCGCCCA